CAGUCGCCGCGGUAAUACGAAGGGUGCAAGCGUUAAUCGGAAUUACUGGGCGUAAAGCAUGCGUAGGCGGUUUGUUAAGUCUGUUGUGAAAUCCCCGGGCUCAACCUGGGAAUGGCAAUGGAUACUGGCAAGCUAGAGUGUGUCAGAGGAUGGUGGAAUUCCCGGUGUAGCGGUGAAAUGCGUAGAGAUCGGGAGGAACAUCAGUGGCGAAGGUGGCCAUCUGGGACAACACUGACGCUGAGGCACGAAAGCGUGGGGAGCAAACAGGAUUAGAUACCCCUGUAGUCCCUGUCUCUUAUAC
rnacentral:rRNA from 1 species